CACCGCGGUUAAACGAUUCACCCAAGUUGACAGACUACGGCAAAAAGUGUGGUUAAUUUAUUUUUAAACUAAAGUCGAACCCCUUCCUUAAUGUUAAAUGUUUUCGAAGAGGGGAAGCCCAACAACGAAAGUGACUUUAAUACAAAUGAACCCACGAAAGCUAAGAAA
rnacentral:rRNA from 1 species